rnacentral:rRNA from 1 species
CCUCGGGUGGCUGCAGUGGGGAAUAUUGGACAAUGGGCGAAAGCCUGAUCCAGCCAUGCCGCGUGUGUGAAGAAGGCCUUCGGGUUGUAAAGCACUUUCAGUGGGGAAGAAAGCCUUGGGGCUAAUACCCUCGAGGAAGGACAUCACCCACAGAAGAAGCACCGGCUAACUCCGUGCCAGCAGCCGCGGUAAUACGGAGGGUGCGAGCGUUAAUCGGAAUUACUGGGCGUAAAGCGCGCGUAGGCGGUCUGAUAAGCCGGUUGUGAAAGCCCCGGGCUCAACCUGGGAACGGCAUCCGGAACUGUCAGGCUAGAGUGCAGGAGAGGAAGGUAGAAUUCCCGGUGUAGCGGUGAAAUGCGUAGAGAUCGGGAGGAAUACCAGUGGCGAAGGCGGCCUUCUGGACUGACACUGACGCUGAGGUGCGAAAGCGUGGGUAGCAAACAGGAUUAGAUACCCCUGUAGUC